GGUUCGAUGGUGUAGUUGGUUAUCACGUUCGUCUCACAUUGUGUGCACGAGAGGUCUCCGGUUCGAGCCCGGGUUGAACCA